UGAAGUUGUGCAUAAAGUCAAAGGGAAUGUAGAAUCAUGUAGUAAAACUAAUAAGAGGACACCAACAGGAUCAUCCUGCUCCAUUAAAAUUGUUUAUACAUACAACAGUGGAGAGUACUGGUAUGAGACUGAAGGAGGAACAAGAAGCAACAUUAUCAAGCUCUGUGUCACUGCUGGUCCUGUGAUCCUGGAGAGUCCUGCUGUUCCUGUGUUAAUGGAAGAAACUGUGACUCUGAGCUGCAGGAACAAAAUUGCAUCCUCCAACUUCACAGCUGAUUUCUACAAAAAUGGAUGUCCCAUCCACAGAGGCGCCACAGGAAACAUGACCAUCCAGAGAGUUUCCAAGUCAGAUGAAGGACUUUACAAGUGUAGCAUCUCAGGAGUUGGAGAAUCACCAGAGAGCUCGCUGAAAGUCACAGACUCUCAAAAUUUAAAUUACACAACUAAUCCAGACAAAGAGGCGUGCCAUUCCUCCUCUGCUGCCACACCUUGGAUCAUUGCCACCAUUUUAGUCAGUG
ensembl:lncRNA